AACACCAUCAAAAUCUUACACGAAUCAAUGCAACGCUUCGGUCCGGGGUCUCGAACUCAUCUCGCUGCUUCGAGGCAUAACCAAACCGAACCUCAACUGGCAAUGAUCGGAGCGCAGGGUUGGACGAAGGACUGUGGGCGGACGGACUAACGUGUUUAUUGCUGUUUGUGGCUUUAUUUUAGUGUUUUGAGGUGAAGAUAGGCGUUAGAAAGACAUCAGUGACUCUAUUCUGUUUAUAUGAAGUGGAUAUAGCAAAGAAAACGGCCUGGAAACUAUCAAAGCGAAGAAAUUACUAAUGAAAAUCGUGGUAAUGGAAACUGUAGAACGCUUGAUUGGUAGACUAAUGUAAUUGUUCCUGGUAACGUUAUUUUAGUGUUACGAGGUGAACAUAGGCGUUAGAAAGACAUCAGUGACUAUUCUAUUUAUACGAAGCUGGAGAUAGCAAAGAAAACUACCCAGAAAUCCGCAGAAAAGAAGGAAUUAGUGAUGGAAGUCGUGGUAAUGGAGACUGGAGAACGUUUGGUUGGUAGACUAAUGUAAUUGUUCCUGGUAACGUUAUUUUAGUGUUACGAGGUGAACAUAGGAGUGAAAAAGAUAUAAGUGACUCUAUUCUGUUGAUACGAAGUGGAGAUAGCAAAGAAAACGACCCAGAAAUCCCCAGAAACGAAGGACUUACUGAUGGGACUCGUGGUGAUGACAGUGGCGUGAGAGUUGCUUGGUAGACUAAUGUAACUGCUUCUGGUGACGUUAUUGUAGUGUUUCGAGGUGAACACAGACAUUAGAAAGACAUAAGUGACUCUAUUCUGCUUAUACGAAGUGGAUAUAGCGAAGAAAACGACCUUAAAACUCCCAGAAAUGAAGGAAAUAAUGGUGAAAGUCGUGCUGAUGGAGAUGGAAGAACGUUUGGUUGGUAGACUAAUGUAACUGUUCCUGGUGACGUUAUGCUAGUGUUACAAGGUGGACAUAGGGAUAGCAGAAGUCGUGGUGAUGGUGACGGAUGAGCACUUGGAAGGUAGACUAAUGUAACUGUUCCUGGUGACGUUAUGCUAGUGUUACAAGGUGAACAUAGGGAUAGCUGAAGUGGUGAUGGUGACUGAAGAACGCUUGGUUGGUUGACUAAUGUAACUGUUCCUGGUGACGUUAUGCUAGUGUUACAAGGUGGACAUAGGGAUAGCAGAAGUCGUGGUGAUGGUGACGGAUGAGCACUUGGUUGGUAGACUAAUGUAACUGUUCCUGGUGACUUUAUGCUCGUGUUACAAGGUGGACAUAGGGAUAGCAGAAGUCGUGGUGAUGG